CCCCUGGCUCCCUUCUAAGUCUGGGAGCCUCCUGACUCCAGCCCCUGCAAAGGGAAAGGACUCUACCAGAGGCAAAUAUGGAAGCCAGAAUGUUCUCUGCCUCCAAUUUCUGGCUUUCUUGGCCUGCUGAGUAAGAAGUGCUCCUGUGGGCUGUCUCAAGCAAUAUGUGUAUUUAAUCCCGCCCACAGCCUAGAGCUUCUGUAGCCUCCUGGGGCUGGUGACACAGGGCAGCCGACUGAAGCAGGAAGGAGGGAGAGCAUACCUUUGUGUAGCUGUCUGGCUUGCCCCAUCCCAGGCUUGGCUCUCCAGACAGCAGAGCCCCCAUCCGGCUUGUGUGCAAACACACCUCCUCCAGGCUGUUUCACCUUGGGAACACAGAAUCUCCUUAAAGAAAUGGAGCCCACGCUGAACCUCCCUUGGUGACGUGGCCAUGGCUUCUAAUGAGAGCAGUUCUAACACCAAUGCAUUUAUUAUCCUCAGACUCUAAGU
rnacentral:lncRNA from 12 species